AAACUGAGUGGCACACCGGUCAAUGCAGGGCUCCAAGCACUCAACACCCUUCUGCGAUGAACCAAUUGCCACUCCAGACUCUAACACACCAGCCAGCUCAGCUGACUCCGUGGAACCCACAACGGUUUCCUGUGGGUAGGUGGUGAGGAUGGGUCCUGGGAUGGUCACGACCACAGGAGGUGGGAAUAUAAUCACACGGGAGUCUGGGCAGGCGAUGACACAGGGUUCAGUGCAGGCAGCAGCCCGGGGUUCUGGGCACUUCCCAUCACACGGGACAGAGCAUGGCUCAGUGCACAGGGUUUUCUCACAGGACAUCUUUUAGUUGUCUUGUAGGACCUGCAAGGUAUGGCAAGGAACAAACACUUGACACUGAAGGAGCUGGUAGGACAAGAUCAACACUUGAGCUAAGCUAAGGAAGAAGAAGUUAUAUCAGAAUCCAACUUACUCAGUCCACCGAGGAGAAGUCAAGAGAACCUGCUGAAAGGUUUCUGAAUCAUGAAUGGUCUUAUAUACCUUCCUAGACCACCAGGCUGAUGCAAGAAAAUAACGUCAUAUUUGUGCAUUAGGUUCCAUUACUCCCCAAACAAAAUUUGGCAUGUAAUUACAGUAAUUGUUUUGCUUAC